AACGAACGCUGGCGGCAGGCCUAACACAUGCAAGUCGAGCGCGCCCUUCGGGGUGUUCGGCGUACGGCUUUGUAACGCGUGGGAACGUUCCCUUUUCUACGGAAUAGCCUCGGGAAACUGAUAGUAAUACCGUAUACGCCCUUUUGGGGAAAGAUUUAUCGGAACAGGUUGGUCCCUCGUUGGAUUAGGUAGUUGGUUGGGUAAUGGCAUACCAAGCCGGCGAUCCAUAGAUGGUUUGAGAGGAUGCUCAGCCACACUGGGAGUGAGACACGGCCGGGAAUCCUACGGGAGGGAGCAGUGGGGAACGUAAGAAAAUGGGGGCAACGAUGAACGAGCCAGGACGGGUGAGUGAUGAAGGCAUGAGGGUAGUAAAGCUCUUUUAGCUAGGAAGAUAAUGACGGUACCAGAAGAAGAAGCCCCGGCUAACUCCGUG
rnacentral:rRNA from 1 species